AGAGUUUGAUCAUGGCUCAGAUUGAACGCUGGCGGCAUGCCUUACACAUGCAAGUCGAACGGUAACAGGUCUUCGGAUGCUGACGAGUGGCGAACGGGUGAGUAAUACAUCGGAACGUGCCCGAUCGUGGGGGAUAACGAGGCGAAAGCUUUGCUAAUACCGCAUACGAUCUACGGAUGAAAGCGGGGGAUCUUCGGACCUCGCGCGGACGGAGCGGCCGAUGGCAGAUUAGGUAGUUGGUGGGAUAAAAGCUUACCAAGCCGACGAUCUGUAGCUGGUCUGAGAGGAUGAUCAGCCACACUGGGACUGAGACACGGCCCAGACUCCUACGAGAGGCAGCAGUGGGGAAUUUUGGACAAUGGGCGAAAGCCUGAUCCAGCCAUGCCGCGUGCAGGAUGAAGGCCUUCGGGUUGUAAACUGCUUUUGUACGGAACGAAAAGCCUCUUUCUAAUAAAGAGGGGUCAUGACGGUACCGUAAGAAUAAGCACCGGCUAACUACGUGCCAGCAGCCGCGGUAAUACGUAGGGUGCAAGCGUUAAUCGGAAUUACUGGGCGUAAAGCGUGCGCAGGCGGUUUUGUAAGACAGAGGUGAAAUCCCCGGGCUCAACCUGGGAACUGCCUUUGUGACUGCAAGGCUGGAGUGCGGCAGANGGGGAUGGAAUUCCGCGUGUAGCAGUGAAAUGCGUAGAUAUGCGGAGGAACACCGAUGGCGAAGGCAAUCCCCUGGGCCUGCACUGACGCUCAUGCACGAAAGCGUGGGGAGCAAACAGGAUUAGAUACCCUGGUA
rnacentral:rRNA from 1 species